rnacentral:rRNA from 1 species
GUCUAUAGCCAUACCUCCCUAAACGUGCCUGAUCUCACCUGAUCUCGGAAGCUAAGCAGGACAGGGCCUGGUCAGCACUUGAAUGAAUAAUAUUACUCCAUGUAAACUUAGGUAUAUGGAAC